UACGUAGGGUGCGAGCGUUAAUCGGAAUUACUGGGCGUAAAGCGUGCGCAGGCGGAUUGUUAAGCAAGAUGUGAAAUCCCCGGGCUUAACCUGGGAACUGCAUUUGGAACUGGAAGACUAGAGUACGGCAGAGGGGGGUAGAAUUCCACGUGUAGCAGUGAAAUGCGUAGAUAUGUGGAGGAAUACCGAUGGCGAAGGCAGCCCCCUGGGUCGAUACUGACGCUCAUGCGCGACAGCGUGGGGAUCAAACAGG
rnacentral:rRNA from 1 species